CCUAUCGUUGCUAUUGAUGACUGUGCCUCUAGUCCAUGUGAAUCUAGCUCAUGACUAGAUCCACACUCAUCCAUAGAAGCGGAACUUUGUCG
rnacentral:pre_miRNA from 1 species